rnacentral:rRNA from 1 species
AUGCUUGGCCUGGCAAGGAAGCCAGACUGGUCUUCAUCGAUAAUUUUGGCGAUUUGCCUUUUACAGUCUCGUUGUUACCCCUCAGCAAAAGGACCUUCACAUUAUCAUUUCCAUUUUGCAGCGAAACCGGCUCAAAUGGUACUACACGGAGCCGGUGCAGGGGCAGGUCAGGUGAGCUACGCCUACGCCGAUGCGCUGGACAAGCUGGUGGCGACGGUGCUCCAGCUCCCCGUGUGGAUCACGGAGCUGGACGUGUCAGCGGCGAACGAGGCAGUGCGCGCUGAUGACCAGGUGGUGCUGCGUGAGGCGUUCGCGCACCCAGCCGUGGAGGGUGAUCAUGCUGUGGGGGUUCAUGCAGAUGCAGGGCACAUGUGGCGCUCCCACGGGCAGGGCCAGGGCAGCUCGUCAACGUUGGCUGACGAGGGCUACUCCGGAUGGGAUCACUUCACUAGAGAUGCCUGA